UACGUAGGGGGCAAGCGUUAUCCGGAUUUACUGGGUGUAAAGGGAGCGUAGACAGCUGAUUAAGUCUGAAGUGAAAGCCCGGGGCUCAACUCCGGGAUUGCUUUGGAAACUGGUUAGCUAGAGUGCAGGAGAGGUAAGUGGAAUUCCUAGUGUAGCGGUGAAAUGCGUAGAUAUUAGGAGGAACACCAGUGGCGAAGGCGGCUUACUGCACUGUAACUGACGUUGAGGCUCGAAAGCGUGGGGAGCAAAC
rnacentral:rRNA from 1 species